rnacentral:lncRNA from 1 species
AACACUAAAAUAACUAAGGAAAUACAAUGUAAAUGCACAAGAACAAGCUAACUAAGUCGCAUAAAUAUACUCCUAUCAGUUAAUCUCCUAUGAUGUAACCAUUGCCAUAAGGGGUUGGAAAUUUCAUCAACAACAUAUGUAUGGAUACCAUGGCCUUGAGAUCAUUGAUGUCUGUGCGUCUGAUGCGUAAAAUAAGUUAACACACAAAAUUAAACCCUCUUUUUAUCAAAUGUAGUAAAGUAUGUAAGUAGGGAUCGUUCUAGGCCGGGGAUUAGGAGGGAUUGCUAAACACUUGAAAACUGACUUAAAUACAUAAAAACAAAAUUUAAAACACUAAACUAGACUCAAAGAAUGCAAAAC